rnacentral:rRNA from 1 species
GACGAACGCUGGCGGCGUGCUUAACACAUGCAAGUCGAACGGUAAGGCCCUUCGGGGUACACGGGUGGCGAACGGGUGAGUAACACGUGGGUGAUCUGCCCUGCACUUCGGGAUAAGCCUGGGCAACUGGGUCUAAUACCGGAUAGGACCACUGCCUUCAUGGGUGCGGGUGGAAAGCUUUUGCGGUGUGGGAUGGGCCCGCGGCCUAUCAGCUUGUUGGUGGGGUGAUGGCCUACCAAGGCGACGACGGGUAGCCGGCCUGGGAGGGUGACCGGCCACACUAGGACUGAGAUACGGCCCAGACUCCUACGGGAGGCAGCAGUGGGGAAUAUUGCACAAUGGGCGCAAGCCUGAUGCAGCGACGCCGCGUGAGGGAUGACGGCCUUCGGGUUGUAAACCUCUUUCAGCACCGACGAAGCGCAAGUGACGGUAGGUGCAGAAGAAGGACCGGCCAACUACGUGCCAGCCGCCGCCGUAAAAC